AAUGAAUUGCCUGAUAAAAGGGCUAUCUUGAUAGGAUAUAUAAUAGAAAGUUAUUUCUAUUCAUUA
rnacentral:tRNA from 1 species